AGUGAACGCUGGCGGUAGGCCUAACACAUGCAAGUCGAACGGCAGCACAGUAAGAGCUUGCUCUUACGGGUGGCGAGUGGCGGACGGGUGAGGAAUACAUCGGAAUCUACUUUUUCGUGGGGGAUAACGUAGGGAAACUUACGCUAAUACCGCAUACGACCUACGGGUGAAAGCAUGGGAUCUUCGGACCUUUCGCGAUUGAAUGAGCCGAUGUCGGAUUAGCUAGUUGGCGGGGUAAAGGCCCACCAAGGCGACGAUCCGUAGCUGGUCUGAGAGGAUGAUCGGCCACACUGGAACUGAGACACGGUCCAGACUCCUACGGGAGGCAGCAGUGGGGAAUAUUGGACAAUGGGCGCAAGCCUGAUCCAGCCAUACCGCGUGGGUGAAGAAGGCCUUCGGGUUGUAAAGCCCUUUUGUUGGGAAAGAAAAGCAGCAGGUUAAUACCCCGCUGUUCUGACGGUACCCAAAGAAUAAGCACCGGCUAACUUCGUG
rnacentral:rRNA from 1 species